rnacentral:rRNA from 1 species
UACGAGUACCCCGAGCGUUAUCCGGAAUUAUUGGGCGUAAAGGGUGUGUAGGUGGUCGUGUUAGUCUCCUGUCAAAUUCUUCGGCUUAACCGGGGGUCCGCAGGGGAAACGGCACGACUCGAGGAUGCGAGGGGUCAGUGGAACUCAUGGAGUAGGGGUGAAAUCCGUUGAUAUCAUGGGGAACACCAAAAGCGAAGGCAACUGACUGGCGCAUUCCUGACACUGAGAUACGAAAGCGUGGGUAGCGAACUGG